UACGAAGGGUGCAAGCGUUACUCGGAAUUACUGGGCGUAAAGCGUGCGCAGGCGGUUAUGUAAGACAGUUGUGAAAUCCCCGGGCUCAACCUGGGAACUGCAUCUGUGACUGCAUAGCUAGAGUACGGUAGAGGGGGAUGGAAUUCCGCGUGUAGCAGUGAAAUGCGUAGAUAUGCGGAGGAACACCGAUGGCGAAGGCAAUCCCCUGGACCUGUACUGACGCUCAUGCACGAAAGCGUGGGGAGCAAACAGG
rnacentral:rRNA from 1 species